rnacentral:rRNA from 1 species
AUUGAACGCUGGCGGCAUGCUUUACACAUGCAAGUCGAACGGUAACAGGCCUUCGGGUGCUGACGAGUGGCGAACGGGUGAGUAAUGCAUCGGAACGUACCCAGAGGUGGGGGAUAACGCAGCGAAAGCUGUGCUAAUACCGCAUGUGAUCUGAGGAUGAAAGCGGGGGACCGAGCAGCAAUGUUUGGCCUCGCGCCUUUGGAGCGGCCGAUGUCGGAUUAGCUAGUUGGUGGGGUAAAGGCCUACCAAGGCGACGAUCCGUAGCUGGUCUGAGAGGACGACAAGCCACACUGGGACUGAGACACGGCCCAGACUCCUACGGGAGGCAGCAGUGGGGAAUUUUGGACAAUGGGCGCAAGCCUGAUCAAGCAAUGCCGCGUGCGGGAAGAAGGCCUUCGGGUUGUAAACCGCUUUUGGCAGGAACGAAACGGUGUCCGCUAAUACCGGGCGCUAAUGACGGUACCUGCAGAAUAAGCACCGGCUAACUACGUG